rnacentral:rRNA from 1 species
AGGGGAAACGACAUCGAAAGCUUGCUUUUGAUGGGCGUCGACCGGCGCACGGGUGAGUAACGCGUAUCCAACCUGCCCACCACUUGGGGAUAACCUUGCGAAAGUAAGACUAAUACCCAAUGAUAUCUCUAGAAGACAUCUGAAAGAGAUUAAAGAUUUAUCGGUGAUGGAUGGGGAUGCGUCUGAUUAGCUUGUUGGCGGGGUAACGGCCCACCAAGGCAACGAUCAGUAGGGGUUCUGAGAGGUUAACCCCCACAUUGGUACUGAGACACGGACCAAACUCC